UACGGAGGGUGCAAGCGUUAAUCGGAAUUACUGGGCGUAAAGCGUACGUAGGCGGCUUUGUAAGUUAGAGGUGAAAGCCCGGGGCUCAACCCCGGAAUUGCCUUUAAGACUGCAUCGCUUGAACGUCGGAGAGGUGAGUGGAAUUCCGAGUGUAGAGGUGAAAUUCGUAGAUAUUCGGAAGAACACCAGUGGCGAAGGCGGCUCACUGGACGACUGUUGACGCUGAGGUACGAAAGCGUGGGGAGCAAGCAGG
rnacentral:rRNA from 1 species